UUCUUCUCAGGGUCACAACUAGAGAGUUUCCAGUACUCUACCAGACUCGGCUAAGGGAAGGAUAGUCAAGCAGAGGCCUGUCCAUUCCAUUCCUAGCUUGGGCAGUGGCUAGUGAGUGGAAAGCCAUCUGCUGCAAGU